rnacentral:rRNA from 1 species
UGGGGAAUUUUGGACAAUGGGCGAAAGCCCGAUCCAGCCAUGCCGCGUGAGUGAAGAAGGCCUUCGGGUUGUAAAGCUCUUUUAGUCGGAAAGAAAGAGUUGCAAUGAAUAAUUGUGAUUUAUGACGGUACCGACAGAAAAAGCACCGGCUAACUACGUGCCAGCAGCCGCGGUAAUACGUAGGGUGCGAGCGUUAAUCGGAAUUACUGGGCGUAAAGGGUGCGCAGGCGGUCUUGCAAGUCAGAUGUGAAAGCCCCGGGCUUAACCUGGGAAUUGCGUUUGAAACUACAAGACUAGAGUGCAGCAGAGGGGAGUGGAAUUCCAUGUGUAGCAGUGAAAUGCGUAGAGAUGUGGAAGAACACCGAUGGCGAAGGCAGCUCCCUGGGUUGACACUGACGCUCAUGCACGAAAGCGUGGGGAGCAAACA